rnacentral:rRNA from 1 species
AUCAUGCCCUUAUGACCUGGGCUACACACGUGCUACAAUGGGCGGUACAAAGGGUCGCGAACCCGCGAGGGGGAGCCAAUCCCAAAAAAGACCGCUCUCAGUUCGGAUUGCAGGCUGCAACUCGCCUGCAUGAAGCCGGAAUCGCUAGUAAUCGCGGAUCAGCAUGCCGCGGUGAAUACGUUCCCGGGCCUU